AACUCAGAUGGCAUAAGCCACAAGCUCACAUGGCUGGUCCCUUCCAGGGCUCAAGGUUGGGAAACUACCAGAUCUGAGUAUGUCAUCCAGUUACAUGGGAGCACACAGACAAGUGGAAGAUACUCUGGCUGUCAGUAUACAGAGGUAAGAAAUAAGCCGUAUGUUAACAGGCUAAUUUAUAAUCUAAGCACUAUCAUUUUGUUUUGUUUUUUUGUUUUUAGGCAUACUGAGGCUUGAACACGGGCACUCAACCACUGAGCCACAUCCCCAUUCCUAUUUUGUAUUUUAUUUAGAGACAGGGUCUCAGUGAGUUGCUUAGCACUUCGAUUUUGCUGAGACUGGCUUUGAACUCGUGAUCUUCCUGUCUCAGCCUCCCAAACUCUGGGAUUACAGGUGUGUGUCACCACACUUGGCUAAGCACUACCAUUUGGAUAAAAUAAAACAAUCUGUCAAGCUACAUUGUGAGAUUAAAAUGUACAAUUGCUAAAGAAUUCUUCAGUAAGUGACAUGUUUCAUAUAAAAAGGAACAAAAGAUUGGAGUAGAACUUGAGAAUGUCAUAUUUUCUAACUCAAAAUAUUAGUUCUCAAUUUAAAAAGUAAUAGGAAGAAUAAGGGGUAGGUAGAAAGCGAGUUUUCAUGUCAGAUCUAUGCAAAAUGAUACUUAAUUCAAAUCACCUGGAAUUUUUUUUGUAGGGCUGGGUUUUGAACUCUUAGACAAGCUCUAUCAUGGAUCUCCACCCCCAGCACCUGAAGAGAUUUUAGAUCACAAUGCUCGGGGUCAUAUCCAGAAAUACCAGUGCAGGUGUAGACUGGAUAAUACAUACUUUUAAUAGAAGUAUCUCAGGGUCUUUGCAUUUAAAGAUAGUGACACAAGAUGGACAUUUCCUUUUUCCUGUAGUGGGGGCCUAGUUGGGGGAAGUAGGUCACUGGGACUGUCCUUGGAAGGCAUAUCUUUGACCUUUUCCUCUCCCUCUUUGCUUCUGGGCUGUCAUGAGGUGAGCUACUUUCCCCUCCACAUUGCUCUGCCUUACCACAGGCUCAGAAACAAUAGAACCACGUGACCAUGGACUGAAAUCUCUCUAAUGGUGUUUUUUUUCCCCUCUUUUUUCAGUUGUUUUUAUCAGGUAUUUUUCUCACAGCAGUGGAAAGCUGACUAACACAGAAUGGGAAUACAAAUGUGGUGAAGGAUGUGUUCUAAAAUUAGAUUGUGGUGAUGGUUGCACAGCUCUAUAAAUCAACUUUAAAAAACCAUUGAAUUUACACCCCAAAUGGGUGAAUUUUGGGGGGAAGGGAGGUACAGGUACCACCUCUCAGGAACAGGUCAAGUUCAGAUGAAAUGUCCCAGCAGGGGAGGUGACUGUGCUGUGGAAGGCUAUGUUGGUGGCAGGCUGGGUCUGCACUGAAUUCUGCUGCCCAUUUGUUGGACAUUGCAGAAGCCUCAGCCUCUUCAUUUUCAUAGGCUGGGAUGAGGAUACUGUCAGACAGGUUCCAUAAGAGAUGCAGCAUCCUGCCUGGAAGGUCCCCAUUUACCCCUCAGUCCAGGAGGAGCCUCCCAGCCAAUCUUGGUGUUUUCCAGGGCUGUAUAGCUCCCAUGUAGAUUUAAUUUUUUUUCUAGUGAAAGCAAAAAGAAGCAGGUAUAAUUCAUUCCAAUGUUUUACUUAACCUAAUAUAUCCCAAAUAUCAUCAACGGACAUGUAAUCAGUAUGACUCUGUGUGUGUGUGUGUGUGUGUGUGUGUGUGUGUGUAGCACUGGAACCUAACUCAUGGCCUUUCACAUGCUAGGCAAGUGCUCUGCCACUGAGCUGCACCCCAACCCCUUUGAUAUAACUGUUAUUAAUGAGAUGUUUUAUAUCCCUUUUUCUUAUAAACUAUUCAAAACCCAGUGUCUACUUUGCACUUAUAUCAUACUUCAUUUGGGGCCAGCUGUGUUUCAAAUGCCUAUCAGCUGCCUGCCUGCAGUGGCCAACAUGAACUUGAGUUACAAAGGGCCUGAAGGGGGUUCACCAAACCUGGGGUGCCUUUGUGUGUGACUUCCCUUUUUCUUACCUGUGGUAGAAGCAAAGGAAAUUCAAGGCCAAAUAGAGUCUGGCCCCAAUCCCAACCCUGGCUGGCACCUAGGGUCAUUGGGAUUCUCCUCCAAGGCCUAAGAAUCUACUCUCAUAGAGGUGGACCCAGGUCAUGUGAAUUCUUACACUUCCCUGUGCUUUGAACUCCUGUUGUCUUUAUCAGGGUGUCAUCAAGAGCUUCUGAGUGAGGACCAGGGGAGCCCCAGACCCAGGAAGUUGGCUGUUCUGGAGAGUGCUGAUGGAGGCCCUGGGCCACGGUGUCAGGAACAGCAGCAGAACUGAUGACCAGCUCAUGCCUGGCACAGAUUAAAGCACACCUUCUCAUCUUUCUUCUUCUUUUA
rnacentral:lncRNA from 1 species